rnacentral:ncRNA from 27 species
UGAUAAUGAAACCUUAUAGGUGCAUAUUUAUGCUUAAUAGGGAAGACGGUUAAAAUCCGGCACGGUCCCGCCGCUGUAAAGAGGAGCAAACUUCAUGAAUGUCACUGGGAAACUGGGAAGGCGAAGUGAGCAAUGAUACUGAGUCAGAAGAACUGCCUAUAAGAAGCAUCGUCGU